rnacentral:lncRNA from 1 species
GUUUGGUCUGGGCGUGCGAACGAGAGAAGGAACCAAGGGAACCAAAACCCUAAACAACCUAAAACCAUCAAAUUGAAAGGGGAAUCGAGGGCUGAUCGAAUGCAUGAGUCUAGAUACCCUUUAAUCUAAGUGUAUUGAUCAUAAGGAACGUGUCAAGGAGAGCUCAAGCAUAGGAGGAUAACGGGUCAAGAUAAGGCAAGGUGACAAAUACACUUAUUGGAAUACUCAAGGUGAUGAAUGUCGGACUUUCGAAGUGUUGAUAUAAUAAUGAAACGGUUGAAUGUUGAAAGGAUAAUCGGACUGAAGUAACUUAUGCGGUAAAUCCUCAAUUUUGGCGACUUGGAGAAUCGGAGCGAGCGCGUGUUCGUGUUAUGCGAUACCAAACGCUUCCGCUAGUUUGUUCAAAUGUUUUUGACCCAAAAUUUGUUGUAUUGGUUUUUAGUAGUAUCUUGUUGAACGAAUUGUAGAAUUGUAUCUAGUUUGUUUAUGUUUAAAACAGGGGUAUGCUCGUUUUAUGGACGGGUCAUGCCCGAUUUUUUGUUAAAUUAUAGUUUGAUAAUAUCACAUUUAGGAAGGUGAAAUUUUGG